GACGCAUCGAAAAGAGACAGACGACGAUACGUCGUAUAGUCAUAUCAAACCUGUGGACUCCUGUUCCCGACAACAAUAAGUUACCUAAGCCGAAAGAUAAAAUGUAAGACAAACGUAUUGAAUUAUAUAUACUACGUCAUUUUCUUGGCAAUGACAAACAUUCUGUUUUCCCUAAAAAGGGAAAAAUAUAGAAUAGAAGAAUUGAAACCAAGAUAUAUAAGAUCUUUAGCUCGACUCCAAAGGGGGAGUUGGUUAAAGAUUGUAGGUACGUCUUGCGGCGUCACGGCAUUUCUGCCAAGAAGUUCACCGUUUGCCUCCAUCGUGCACUAUCACCCUUCACCUCGACUACUACUUG
rnacentral:lncRNA from 1 species